GAUGAACGCUAGCGGCAGGCUUAACACAUGCAAGUCGAGGGGCAGCAUAAUGGAUAGCAAUAUCUAUGGUGGCGACCGGCGCACGGGUGCGUAACGCGUAUGCAACCUACCUUUAACAGGGGGAUAACACUGAGAAAUUGGUACUAAUACCCCAUAAUAUCAUAGAAGGCAUCUUUUAUGGUUGAAAAUUCCGAUGGUUAGAGAUGGGCAUGCGUUGUAUUAGCUAGUUGGUGGGGUAACGGCUCACCAAGGCGACGAUACAUAGGGGGACUGAGAGGUUAACCCCCCACACUGGUACUGAGACACGGACCAGACUCCUACGGGAGGCAGCAGUGAGGAAUAUUGGUCAAUGGACGCAAGUCUGAACCAGCCAUGCCGCGUGCAGGAUGACGGCUCUAUGAGUUGUAAACUGCUUUUGUACGAGGGUAAACGCAGAUACGUGUAUCUGUCUGAAAGUACCGUACGAAUAAGGAUCGGCUAACUCCGUG
rnacentral:rRNA from 1 species